rnacentral:rRNA from 1 species
UGGGGAAUAUUGCACAAUGGGCGAAAGCCUGAUGCAGCGACGCCGCGUGAGGGAUGACGGCCUUCGGGUUGUAAACCUAUUUCAGUAGGGUCGAAGCGCAAGUGACGGUACCUGCAGAAGAAGCACCGGCUAACUACGUGCCAGCAGCCGCGGUAAUACGUAGGGUGCGAGCGUUGUCCGGAAUUACUGGGCGUAAAGAGCUCGUAGGCGGUUUGUCACGUCGUCUGUGAAAUCCUAGGGCUUAACCCUGGACGUGCAGGCGAUACGGGCUGACUUGAGUACUACAGGGGAGACUGGAAUUUCUGGUGUAGCGGUGGAAUGCACAGAUAUCAGGAAGAACACCGAUGGCGAAGGCAGGUCUCUGGGUAGUAACUGACGCUGAGGAGCGAAAGCAUGGGUAGCGAACAGG